rnacentral:tRNA from 1 species
UCCCUGGUGGUCCAGUGGUUAAGACUCUGAACUUCCGAUGCAGGGGGCGCAGGUUCAAUCCCUGGUAGGGAA